UCGGGAGGCUGAGGCAGGAGAACAGCGUAAAACGGGGAGGUGGAGCUUGCAGUGAGCUGAAAUCCGGCCACUGCACUCCAGCCUGGGCGACAGAGCGAGACUCCGUCUUAAAAAAAAAAAAAAAAAAAAAGAAAAUAUUCCAUUUUUGACCUAUGUAUUGACUUUAGAACCUAAUCUCUUUGUACAUUAUAAUUCUGCUUUACUUAUUUUGUGACCUUUUCUCAGUCAUUUAACCUCUGAUACUCCAUUUCUUCCUGUGUAAAAUAGAGUUAGAAAAACUGGUCUUCAAGUAGCCUUGUCCCCUGCCCUUCUCUUCUGUGCUGAUGCCACCUCAAGCUGGCCAGUCUCCUUGGGACCAAACACUGUGCCUUCAAUUAAGGUGCAGAGUUCUGACGGAGAGAUAUUUGAAGUUGAGGUGGAAAUUGCCAAACAAUCUGUGACUAUGAAGACCAUGUCGGAAGAUUUGCGAAUGAAUGAUAGAAGAGAUGAUGACCUAGUCAUUUACCACGUUUUAUUAUUGUUAUUAAUUUUUUUUUUUUUUUUUUUUUUUUGAGACGGAGUCUCGCUCUGUCACCCAGGCUGGAGUGCAGCGGCGCGAUCUCGGCUCACUGCAAGCUCCACCUCCCGGGUUCAUGCCAUUCUCCUGCCUCAGCCUCCCAAGCAGCUGGGACUACAGGCGCCUGCCACCGUGCCCAGCUAAUUUUUUGUAUUUUUUAGUAGAGACGGGGUUUCACCGUGUUAGCCAGGAUGGUCUUGAUCUCCUGACCUCGUGAUCCCCCCGCCUCGGCCUCCCAAAGUGCUGGGAUUACAGGCGUGAGCCACCGCACCCGGCCUUGUUAUUAAUUUUUUUUAAGUGGAGAUGAGGUCUCGCUAUAUUGCCUAGGCUGGUCUCAAACUGGGCUCAAGUGAUCCCCUCACCUCAGCCUCCCAAAGUGCUAGGAUUACAGGCACGAGCCACUGCACCCAGUCCUCUUCUUGUGGUUUAUGCUCUCAGUAAGUCUAGGUCCAGGUGGAGGAGGAGGCAGAAUGUACCCAAUGAGCCAGCACCUAUUAGGCAAAGAAGGACAGCCCCUCCUGGACCCCAUCUUCAUACCAGGUUGUAUCUUUUUUUUUUUUUUUUUUUUUUUUUUUUUUUUUUU
rnacentral:lncRNA from 1 species